UCGUGACGCGAUGGAGACGACGGCGACGACGGCGACGAGAGGAGGCUAACAUUAGACACAGUUAAUUGCUCGUCGUCGUCGUCGUCGUCGUCGUCGACGUCG